rnacentral:rRNA from 1 species
UACGAAGGGGGCUAGCGUUGCUCGGAAUUACUGGGCGUAAAGCGCACGUAGGCGGCUCUUUAAGUCGGAGGUGAAAUCCUGGAGCUCAACUCCAGAACUGCCCUCGAUACUGAAGAGCUCGAGUCCGGGAGAGGUGAGUGGAACUGCGGGUGUAGAGGUGAAAUUCGUAGAUAUUCGCAAGAACACCAGUGGCGAAGGCGGCUCACUGGCCCGAUACUGACGCUGAGGCGCGAAAGCGUGGGGAGCAAACAGG